CUGGCGGCAUGCUUUACACAUGCAAGUCGAACGGCAGCGCGGGGGCAACCUGGCGGCGAGUGGCGAACGGGUGAGUAAUGCAUCGGAACGUAUCCUGUAAUGGGGGAUAACGUAGCGAAAGUUACGCUAAUACCGCAUACGCUCGAGAGAGGAAAGUGGGGGAUCGCAAGACCUCACGUUAUAGGAGCGGCCGAUGUCCGAUUAGCUAGUUGGUGGGGUAAAGGCCUACCAAGGCGACGAUCGGUAGCUGGUCUGAGAGGAUGAUCAGCCACACUGGGACUGAGACACGGCCCAGACUCCUACGGGAGGCAGCAGUGGGGAAUUUUGGACAAUGGGCGAAAGCCUGAUCCAGCCAUGCCGCGUGCGGGAAGAAGGCCUUCGGGUUGUAAACCGCUUUAGUCCGGGAAAAAGGGGUGCGAGGAUAAUACCCUCGUGCUUUGAUGGUACUGGAAGAAUAAGCACCGGCUAACUACGUG
rnacentral:rRNA from 1 species